rnacentral:rRNA from 1 species
UACGUAGGGUGCAAGCGUUGCCCGGAUUUAUUGAGCGUAAAGGGCGCGCAGGCGGCUACGCACGUCCGUUGUGAAAUCGCUCGGCUCAACUGGGCGGGGUCGGCGGAUACGGCGUAGCUGGAGCAAGCUAGGGGGCAAUGGAAUUCCCGGUGUAGUGGUGGAAUGCGUAGAUAUCGGGAGGAACACCAGUGGCGAAGGCGGUUGCCUGGAGCUUUGCUGACGCUGAGGCGCGAAAGCGUGGGGAGCGAUCCGG